GAUGAAGAACGCAGCGAAAUGCGAUAAGUAGUGUGAAUUGCAGAAUUCAGUGAAUCAUCGAAUCUUUGAACGCACAUUGCGCCCUUUGGUAUUCCAAAGGGCAUGCCUGUUCGAGCGUCAUUUGUACCCUCAAGCUUUGCUUGGUGUUGGGCGUCUUGUCUCUAGCUUUGCUGGAGACUCGCCUUAAAGUAAUUGGCAGCCGGCCUACUGGUUUCGGAGCGCAGCACAAGUCGCACUCUCUAUCAGCAAAGGUCUAGCAUCCAUUAAGCCUUUUUUUCGACUUUUGACCUCGGAUCAGGUAGGGAUACCCGCUGAACUUAAGCAUAUCAUAAGCGGAGGA
rnacentral:misc_RNA from 1 species